CGCAGCCCGGCGCCGGUGCGUCCCUCCUUGCCUCCUGGGACCAAACAAGCCCGGCAAGUGAAGCUGACCCGGGUCCCGUCCCGGGCUAGGUCCUCCGCGGCUCAAAGGUGGCGGAGGUGCAGGGAGACUGAGAAGAGACCCGAAGCCCUCGCCCGGAAUCCGAUCCUACGCGCUGCUCAAGGCCCCUCUCUACCGAAGGCAUCUCUUCCGGGAAACCCUCCCUGGAUCAGCUGACUUUCCCUUCAGGGUAUUCGUUGCAUCUUGAUAUGUUUUCAUUUUCUGUUUACCACUUAAUUAUAGAGAUUGCUUCAUGCCCUCCACCACCAUCACCACCGUUGGGCAGAAACAAGCUCACCGGUUCGGAUUCCUCCCUGCCCAUCACCAUUGGACGGAAUUCAUUAUAACGUCAUUGAUUCUGUUCCGUGCUCCCCCCCGCCCCCACCCUUCACCUUCGGACAGGAUUGUGAGGGCUGGCCCUGUUCCUGAGAGAGAACCACCGCGUACACACCGGAUGAGAAGCAGUUGCAAUGAAAUGUUCAUUUACUCAGACUCCCUGGAGACACAAAAUCUCUCCAACCACAUCAGGAGAAGGAAAGGAAGAAAGAGGAGGAGAGGGUGGAUUCUUUACCAACUGAACCAUCAAGGAACUUAUGAUAAUCACAUCAUCACUGGAUGAUAGCUCGAGACACAGACCAACCCAUGUGCGCUUUGGUGGCAACUCAGAUUACAAAAGCAGACCUGCCCAUGUGGCUAUGACUUCCCAACAUGGUGAACAACUCUUGAAAAAUUCUAAGCAAAAUUAAUUUAAUGUUUUAAUUGCCAUGGUGCUUGCAUUCUGGGAAAAUUAGGUGCUUAUUUUCACCUACACGCAGGUUCAGCAGAAAAAUAUAUAGUAUUUUUCUCAAGGUCAGUUGGAGCAUAAAACAAUUUCCAAUUCUAGCAUCUCAGGAUCUUACCCUUUGAAUAUUACCUCCCAAUCA
ensembl:lncRNA